GAGCUUGCUCCUUUGAGACCGGCGCACGGGUGCGUAACGCGUAUGCAAUCUACCUUUCACAGAGGGAUAGCCCAGAGAAAUUUGGAUUAAUACCUCAUAGUAUAGCAGUUUCGCAUGAAACCACUAUUAAAGUCACAACGGUGAAAGAUGAGCAUGCGUCCCAUUAGCUAGUUGGUAAGGUAACGGCUUACCAAGGCAACGAUGGGUAGGGGUCCUGAGAGGGAGAUCCCCCACACUGGUACUGAGACACGGACCAGACUCCUACGGGAGGCAGCAGUGAGGAAUAUUGGACAAUGGGCGCAAGCCUGAUCCAGCCAUGCCGCGUGCAGGAUGACGGUCCUAUGGAUUGUAAACUGCUUUUGUACAGGAAGAAACACCUCUACGUGUAGAGACUUGACGGUACUGUAAGAAUAAGGAUCGGCUAACUCCGUGCCAGCAGCCGCGGUAAUACGGAGGAUCCAAGCGUUAUCCGGAAUCAUUGGGUUUAAAGGGUCCGUAGGCGGUUUAGUAAGUCAGUGGUGAAAGCCCAUCGCUCAACGGUGGAACGGCCAUUGAUACUGCUAGACUUGAAUUAUUAGGAAGUAACUAGAAUAUGUAGUGUAGCGGUGAAAUGCUUAGAGAUUACAUGGAAUACCAAUUGCGAAGGCAGGUUACUACUAAUUGAUUGACGCUGAUGGACGAAUGCGUGGGUAGCGAACAGGAUUAUAUACCCUGGUAGUCCACGCCG
rnacentral:rRNA from 1 species